CACAGAGUGGACCAGAAGAGCUCAGAGGUUCCCAGUGGUCAGUCUUCCCAGCAGCAUCAGACACACCUGGACUCUAUAUUUAUGAUGCUGGAGGACAAAAUAAUCUCUUUUGUGAAGAACGAGCUGAAGAACAUCCAGACAAGUCUGAGUCCAGAGGACCUACAAUGUUUUAAGAGUCAAUGUGAGGAUGACGCUGUAUUACAGAGUGUGGAUGAAGAACAGAGUACGAGCAGCAGAGAAGCAUUUAUGAUGAUUACAGUGGACUUCCUGAAGAGAAUGAAGCAGAAUAAGUUCGCUGAGCGUUUGCUGACAAGAACCUGCACUCGGAACUUCCAGUGGCAUCAGCAUGAAUUUAAAUCUAACAUGAAGAAGAAGUUCCAGUGUGUGUUUGAGGGGAUCGCUAAAGCAGGA